GGCCUGGUGGUGUAGUGGUUACACAUCCUCUGGAAAUAUCACGAUGCUGGUAAUUAUAUAUUUAUGAGGAAGUCCCCUGUUCAAAUCAGGGCCAGGCCU